rnacentral:lncRNA from 1 species
GCCACGACCGUCGCAUGUCCGUUCGUCACCGUAAACUCCGUCACCUGAAGCCUCCGAUCUGCAACAAGUUGCGGUUCGACGACUUUGACAGCCUCCGCACAACCACCGGUCGCCGCAUACAUCCACCAUGAACCGGCUUUAAUUUGGAACCAUCAUACCCCGCUUUUCUGCCACCGCGAACUAGCUCGUCGUCGUCGCGAACCAGAUUCAGCCACCUCACGUGUUCGUGUAUCACCGCUCUUGUCUCAGCUCUAAUUUGCUUGGGUUCAACAACUAAGGUUCUUGAUUUUCGAGAUCGACUUGACUAAUUGGUCUUGCUUUGCUUGCUAAUAAGUCCGUUACUUUGUAGUACGGAUGCUUUCGCUAGUAACAAAAUAUGAAAGCCAAAUAGAAGCCAGCUGGACAGCACUGAAGUCUUGGAAAAGUGGCAAUAAAGUUACCUAA